rnacentral:ncRNA from 1 species
CUUAUCAAGAGUGGCGGAGGGAACGGCCCGAUGAAGCCCGGCAACCUGCAUGAUUUGCAAGGUGCCAAAUCCGGCGGUAGAAAUCGAAAGAUGAGG